rnacentral:rRNA from 1 species
GAUGAACGCUGGCGGCGUGCCUAAUACAUGCAAGUCGAGCGAACAGACGAGGAGCUUGCUCCUCUGACGUUAGCGGCGGACGGGUGAGUAACACGUGGAUAACCUACCUAUAAGACUGGGAUAACUUCGGGAAACCGGAGCUAAUACCGGAUAAUAUAUUGAACCGCAUGGUUCAAUAGUGAAAGACGGUUUUGCUGUCACUUAUAGAUGGAUCCGCGCCGCAUUAGCUAGUUGGUAAGGUAACGGCUUACCAAGGCAACGAUGCGUAGCCGACCUGAGAGGGUGAUCGGGCAAACUGGAACUGAGACACUGUUCAGGAUCCUACGGGGAGCAGCAGUGGGGAAUCUUCCCCAAGGGGGGAAAGCCUGACGGAGCAAACCCGCCGGAAUGAUGAAGGUCUUCGGAUCGUAAAACUCUGUUAUUAGGGAAGAACAAAUGUGUAAGUAACUAUGCACGUCUUGACGGUACCUAAUCAGAAAGCCACGGCUAACUACGUG